rnacentral:rRNA from 1 species
UACAGAGGGGGUAAGCGUUGUUCGGAAUUACUGGGCGUAAAGGGCGCGUAGGCGGCCCGCUAAGUCGAACGUGAAAUCCCCAGGCUCAACCUGGGAACUGCGUCCGAUACUGGCAGGCUUGAAUCCGGGAGAGGGAUGUGGAAUUCCAGGUGUAGCGGUGAAAUGCGUAGAUAUCUGGAGGAACACCGGUGGCGAAGGCGGCAUCCUGGACCGGUAUUGACGCUGAGGCGCGAAAGCUAGGGUAGCAAACGGG